rnacentral:rRNA from 1 species
GAUGAACGCUGGCGGCGUGCCCAAUACAUGCAAGUCGAGCGAAUGGAUUAAGAGCUUGCUCUUAUGAAGUUAGCGGCGGACGGGUGAGUAACACGUGAGUAACCUGCCCAUAAGACUGGGAUAACUCCGGGAAACCGGGGCUAAUACCGGAUAACAUUUUGAACCGCAUGGUUAGAAAUUGAAAGGCGGCUUCGGCUGUCACUUAUGGAUGGACCCGCGUCGCAUUAGCUAGGUGGUGAGGUAACGGCUCACCAAGGCAACGAUGCGUAGCCGACCUGAGAGGGUGAUCGGCCACACUGGGACUGAGGCACGGCCCAGACUCCUACGGGAGGCAGCAGUAGGGAAUCUUCCGCAAUGGACGAAAGUCUGACGGAGCAACGCCGCGUGAGUGAUGAAGGCUUUCGGGUCGUAAAACUCUGUUGUUAGGGAAGAACAAGUGCUAGUUGAAUAAGCUGACACCUUGACGGUACCUAACCAGAAAGCCACGGCUAACUACGUGCCAGCCGCCGCGGUAA